AUUUUAGUGACUGAGUGGCGGACGGGUGAGUAACGCGUGGUAACCUGCCUUAUACGAGGGGGAUAACAGUUAGAAAUGACUGCUAAUACCGCAUAAGCGCACAGGAUUGCAUGAUCUGGUGUAGAAAACCCCGGUGGUAUAAGAUGGACCCGCGUCUGAUUAGCUGGUUGGUGAGGUAACGGCCCACCAAGGCGACGAUCAGUAGCCGACCUGAGAGGGUGACCGGCCACAUUGGGACUGAGACACGGCCCAAACUCCUACGGGAGGCAGCAGGUGGGGAAUAUUGCACAAGUGGGGGAAACCCUGAUGCAGCGACGCCGCGUGAGCGAAGAAGUAUUUCGGUAUGUAAAGCUCUAUCAGCAGGGAAGAAAAAAAUGACGGUACCUGACUAAGAAGCCCCGGCUAACUACGUG
rnacentral:rRNA from 1 species